CCUACGGGAGGCUGCAGUGGGGGAUAUUGCACAAUGGAGGGAACCCUGAUGCAGCGACGCCGCGUGGAUGAAGAAGCGCCUCGGCGCGUAAAGCUCUGUCAACAGGGAAGAAAAUUACGGUACCUGAAGAAGAAGCCCUGGCUAACUACGUGCCAGCUGCCGCGGUACUGCGUAGGGGGCAAGCGUUAUCCGGAUUUACUGGGUGUAAAGGGGGCGUAGUCGGCGAUGCAAGCCAGUAGUGAAAGCCCGGGGCCCAACCCCGGGACUGCUGUUGUAACUGCGUGGCUGGAGUGCAGGAGGGGCAGGCGGAAUUCGUGGUGUAGCGGUGAAAUGCGUAGAUAUCAGGAAGAACACCGGUGGCGAAGGCAGCUUGCUGGACUGUAACUGACGUUGAGGCCCGAAAGCGUGGGGAGCAAACAGGAUUAGAUACCCGUGUAGUC
rnacentral:rRNA from 1 species